rnacentral:pre_miRNA from 1 species
UCAGGUCGCCUUCUCCACUUGAGAGGGCGGCCAGAUCUGGUCGUCCUCUCCACAGUCCUCUCCCUUGGAAAGGAGUGGAGAGGACGACCAGAUCUGGCCGCCUUCUCCAGUGGAGAAGGCGACCGGA